GGUAUUAUAUUUUAAUAAAAAUUUUAAAUUGCAAAUUUAAAGAUAGAUUGUUCUUAAUACCU
rnacentral:tRNA from 1 species